GACGAACGCUGGCGGCGUGCUUAACACAUGCAAGUCGAACGGAAAGGCCCUGCUUUUGUGGGGUGCUCGAGUGGCGAACGGGUGAGUAACACGUGAGUAACCUGCCCUUGACUUUGGGAUAACUUCAGGAAACUGGGGCUAAUACCGGAUAGGAGCUCCUGCUGCAUGGUGGGGGUUGGAAAGUUUCGGCGGUUGGGGAUGGACUCGCGGCUUAUCAGCUUGUUGGUGGGGUAGUGGCUUACCAAGGCUUUGACGGGUAGCCGGCCUGAGAGGGGGACCGGCCACAUUGGGACUGAGAUACGGCCCAGACUCCUACAGGAGGCAGCAGUGGGGAGUAUUGCACAAUGGGCGGGAGCCUGAUGCAGCAACGCCGCGUGCGGGAUGACGGCCUGCGGGUUGUGAACCGCUUUCGCCUGUGACGAAGCGUGAGUGACGGUAAUGGGUAAAGAAGCACCGGCUAACUACGUG
rnacentral:rRNA from 1 species